UUGUACGUUUGGGAUUAACUUCAAGGAAACGUGGGGCUAAUACCGGAGUAGGAGCUCCUGCUGCAUGGUGGGGUUGGAAAGUUUCGGCGGUUGGGGAUGGACUCGCGGCUUAUCAGCUUGCUGGUGGGGUAGUGGCUUACCAAGGCUUUGACGGGUAGCCGGCCUGAGAGGGUGACCGGCCACAUUGGGACUGAGAUACGGCCCAGACUCCUACGGGAGGCAGCAGUGGGGAAUAUUGCACAAUGGGCGGAAGCCUGAUGCAGCAACGCCGCGUGCGGGAUGACGGCCUUCGGGUUGUAAACCGCUUUCGCCUGUGACGAAGCGUGAGUGACGGUAAUGGGUAAAGAAGCACCGGCUAACUACGUG
rnacentral:rRNA from 1 species